rnacentral:rRNA from 1 species
UACGAAGGGGGCGAGCGUUGUUCGGAUUUACUGGGCGUAAAGGGCGCGCAGGCGGCUCAUUUUGUCAGGCGUGAAAGCCCCGGGCUUAACCUGGGAGGUGCGUUUGAUACGGAUGGGCUAGAGUUCGGGAGAGGAGAGUGGAAUUCCCAGUGUAGAGGUGAAAUUCGUAGAUAUUGGGAAGAACACCGGUGGCGAAGGCGGCUCUCUGGACCGAGACUGACGCUGAGGAGCGAAAGCGUGGGGAGCGAACAGG